rnacentral:rRNA from 1 species
CACGCCCUAAACGAUGCGCACUAGAUUCGGGAGCCUCUGACGGUUUCCGGGUCGAUGUGAAAACGUUAAGUGCGCCGCCUGGGGAGUACGGCCGCAAGGUUAAAACUCAAAGGAAUUGACGGGGGCUCACACAAGCGGUGGAGCAUGUGGAUUAAUUCGAAGCAACGCGAAGAACCUUACCUGGGUUUGACAUGCACGGAUGCCGUCCAUGAAAGUGGAGCCGGCUGCUCUUCGGAGUGAAACGUGUACAGGUGC